CUGGCUCAGGACGAACGCUGGCGGCGUGCCUAACACAUGCAAGUCGAACGAGGUCGCCUUCGGGCAAUGACCAAGUGGCGAACGGGUGCGUAACACGUGAGGAACCUGCCCCGAGGACUGGGACAACCACGGGAAACUGUGGCUAAUACCAGAUGCCCUCCGCUGAUCGCAUGAUCGGCAGAGGAAAUGCUCCGGCGCCUUCGGGAGGGCCUCGCGGCCUAUCAGCUUGUUGGCGAGGUAACGGCUCACCAAGGCAUCGACGGGUAGCUGGUCUGAGAGGACGAUCAGCCACACUGGGACUGAGACACGGCCCAGACUCCUGCGGGAGGCAGCAGUGGGGAAUCUUGCGCAAUGGGCGAAAGCCUGACGCAGCAACGCCGCGUGGGGGAUGAAGGCUCUCGGGGUGUAAACCCCUUUCAGCAGGGACGAAAUUGACGGUACCUGAAGAAAGAAGCCCCGGCCAACUACGUGCCAGCAG
rnacentral:rRNA from 1 species